rnacentral:rRNA from 1 species
UGGGGAAUAUUGGACAAUGGGCGAAAGCCUGAUCCAGCCAUGCCGCGUGUGUGAAGAAGGUCUUCGGAUUGUAAAGCACUUUAAGCGAGGAGGAGGCUCUUCUAGUUAAUACCUAGGAUGAGUGGACGUUACUCGCAGAAUAAGCACCGGCUAACUCUGUGCCAGCAGCCGCGGUAAUACAGAGGGUGCGAGCGUUAAUCGGAAUUACUGGGCGUAAAGCGCGCGUAGGUGGUUCGUUAAGUUGAAUGUGAAAGCCCCGGGCUCAACCUGGGAACUGCAUCCAAAACUGGCGAGCUAGAGUAGGGCAGAGGGUGGUGGAAUUUCCUGUGUAGCGGUGAAAUGCGUAGAUAUAGGAAGGAACACCAGUGGCGAAGGCGACCACCUGGGCUCAUACUGACACUGAGGUGCGAAAGCGUGGGGAGCAAACAGG